rnacentral:rRNA from 1 species
UACGUAGGGGGCAAGCGUUAUCCGGAUUCACUGGGCGUAAAGGGAGCGCAGGCGGCACGGCAAGUCUGGUGUGAAAGCCCGGGGCCCAACCCCGGGACUGCAUUGGAAACUGCCGGGCUGGAGUGCCGGAGGGGUAAGCGGAAUUCCUGGUGUAGCGGUGAAAUGCGCAGAUAUCAGGAAGAACACCGGUGGCGGAGGCGGCUUACUGGACGGCAACUGACGCUGAGGCUCGAAAGCGUGGGGAGCA